UUUAGGCUUAGUACUAGCACUUAGCAAGUUUCAUUAAUAUUCCUGCAUUGGUUUGUUUACGAGAAGAGGCGUGGACAAGGGAAACAUUUCUUUACUUUAUGCUUUUGUUUGCUCUUGUUUGAAGUACAAUAAAUCCAUGUUUUAACCUUCUAACCUUGACCCAAAUAAAAAUCCUCACAGUAUGCAGAACCAAGCUAGCUAUUAAUAAAUCUGACCAAGUAACAUUAAAAUCCUUCAUUGAUUUAUGCAAAGAAGCACUGGCAAGGUAAUUAUGUUUUUAACCUUGUGAACUUGACUUAAUUGACAAAUCUGCCAAUAUGCAAACCAAGGCUUGGUAAUGAACACUCCUUCUAAGUUUCUUUUUAAUCCUUUAAGUGUUUUAUGAGAAUAAGUGCUGACAAGAUGCAAGGAACAUCUAACCAGACAUCCUGACAUCACUCUGGACAGCGCAAAAAAUAUGUCUCCAUUACCAGCUAGGGAAUUUCAUUCCUUAUUCAUUCCAAAAAUUUAGCAAAUAAUAUUUGUACUCAUAAUGUAUCAUUUAUGGUGAUUUGAUGAUGUUGUUUUUUUACUUUUUGCUUUUGAACAGUAAAUUUGUGCACAUUCGGCGCUUAUCCAGCAUUGAUAUGGGCGGACCAAUACAUUGGAACAUACUCUGCCCACGUCAUGCAAAACAGUCAGAUUCAAUAUCUUGCGGUGUCUACGUUUUAAAGUAAGCAGAAUGCUACCUGCAGAAUCAAUCCCUAGAGUUUGUGCUCAGCAAAACACAACUACUAGAAGAACGGAGACAAAUAGCCAGAAGACUGCUUUCUGAAGGGGAAUUCAUUGAAGGUCAUCUAGAAGAGAUAGCAAGUAGCCCAUCAGUCGAACAUGAGAACUCGGACCAGCUCGCAAACACCCCUGCCUCUGCCAUGGAGUUGGAAGGGCGAGACACUGACCCAGUAGUCGAUCAUGUGGCAACAACUAGGAACUCGGACCAGCUGGCAAACAACCCUGCCUCUGCCAUGGAGUUGGAAGGGGGGAGACACUGACCCAGUGGUCGAUCAUGUAGCAACAGCCAGGGUGAGUCAAAGCGGACACAGUUGAUGAGGAAAUAUGCAUCCAGCAUUGGAAGCACAAUUUUUCUUUAAAAAA